rnacentral:pre_miRNA from 1 species
GGAGGAACUGACUUCUCCCUGGGUUGGGAUUUGUUGCAUUACUUGUGGGUUCCCUGAACAGUAUUGCACUUGUCCCGGCCUGUGGAGGAGGAGCGGAGA